GUGGCACACGUCGCACUCGAACAUCCGCGUGAUGAGGUGGAUCUGGAGGUGCCGCUCGUACAUGCUGCGCGUCUUGCACACAAAGUUGCAGAAGACACACUCAAAGCCUGGAGAGAGCAGCAGGAGGAUAAGAGGACUUGUCCUCAGUUCCUGAUCCCGAGUGGCUCCCGGAGCUGGACUGGCUGCCGGUGGAGGAGGGCGGGGCAAGCAGGCUCUUGAGUUCUUCGUUACCGUGGGCGAGGUCUCCACCUUCCGAACUGUUGAGUGAAUCGCUGAGGGCCGAGAGGGACGAGGAAGUGCUCUUGGUCUCACUGAGGGGACUUCUUGAAUUUAAACCUGGAGACAAAAGGACAGAAAGACAUAGUCGCAGACGCUGCAGCAGAGUGAGAACAUCCACUGCUCCUUGUCCACAUGGAGCGACAUGUGGCUGACAAACUGGGCGUUCAGCUCCGUCUGGAAACCACACACAUGGCAGCUGGACAGAAAACAGAGAGGGAAAAAGGAAGGAGGAUGGUGAGAAUGAGACGGGGGCCAGUCAGCUUUAGUGCGACAUUAUGUUUGCAUUAAUUAUAAAAUGGUUCAGAGCUGAUUCACAUCUUUUAAACUGAUAGUUAACUGAAAUAAUACAGUUCUCCUGAGGAGACAUUUUGGGGAAAUAUAUUUGCAUUCUUGUCAAGAUGUAGAUUAGAGGCCUGGUACUACUCUCUCUAUACAAUAGUAUAUAUAGUGUAUGGUAUAUGAAGCUACAGCCAAGAAGCUGUCAAAGUGGGACAGUUUACCUGGGUGUGGUCAAAAUUCUACAUGAAUCAACAAAAACAUCUUGAAGUCACUAAGGAGACAUCACUGUGAAGUUUCCUGUAGAGCUGGGUGACAUGGCCAAAGACUUUAUCAAAAUUAAAAAUUAAUUACCAUAGUAAGUGUCUUAAUUUUGAGUUUAAAGAUUGAUUUUUGCUCCUGAGUGACACAUUUUAGAAAACAUUUUUACAAAUCAGAGGUAGAUCAUUGAAACCAAUUAGCAGUUUCAUAUCACUCAGACUUAGUUUCAAUGCAAUCAAUUUUCACAAGAGAUAAUGUUUAAUCAAUGAGAUUUAUAGCUGCAUUUAGAGGAAGGUUUUUUCCCCACUUUUUUAACCUUACAACUGAGCACGGUUAAAUGUUUCUCUAACUUUUAUAAUAAUAAUAAUAAGCCAACUGUCUCCUGACUGUAGAUUCAAAUUGAACAAACAGAUAACGAGUAGGAUAUUGAUUCAGCUUUGGGCGAAUAAGCACAUUUCCCAGAAUGUCUUUUAUGUCCAAAUAACUGGCUCACAACAAUAGAAAAUAGACAAAUAAAACAGAGCAGUUGUGGAAAAAUUAAAUGAAAAAAUAUAUCAGGAUUUAAUUGGACAUCAAACAGCAGAUACAGAUUGAUCCAAAAUGCUGUGAUCAGGCUCCAUUCUCGUCUCCAGUCGUGGUUUGAGACAGUGUAGAGGUCAGAGUGGUGUUUUGUUCUGUUCUUACUACCUGUAGUAGUAGGGGCAGUUCUUGCGCUCAGCAGAGUCGGCUGUAACGGCGCUGACGAUCUGCUCAGUGUCCGUGUUGACCAGCUUGACAGAGUGGAUGGUCAGGUGCUGAUUGAGGUUAGCCCUGCACUUGGCAGCGUAAGGACACAGGUGACACUUGUACUUCCUCUCUUCUGCAACACAACACACACACAGACACAGGACCCUGGGUGAGUGUAAACAUUACCUCAGAUGAUAUUUCAUUAAGUUGCCCUCAGCCACCAAGCCUUUAAAGCAAGCUUAAACCUAAUUACUUAAUGCCUAACCCUGCCUCACCUUCCCCUGACCCCAGCUGUAACUCUGAUCCCGGGAAGAGGAAGACAAAAUCAACUUUUCAGAGUCACAAGAUGGUAAUAAUUCGAGACGUGUUUGAACAUAAUUUCACCUGAUUUCGGAGCAAUAUCCUACAAAUAAAUUUAGAAAUCUC